rnacentral:rRNA from 1 species
UGGGGAAUUUUGGACAAUGGGCGAAAGCCUGAUCCAGCAAUGCCGCGUGUGUGAAGAAGGCCUUCGGGUUGUAAAGCACUUUUGUCCGGAAAGAAAUCCUUGGCUCUAAUACAGUCGGGGGAUGACGGUACCGGAAGAAUAAGCACCGGCUAACUACGUGCCAGCAGCCGCGGUAAUACGUAGGGUGCAAGCGUUAAUCGGAAUUACUGGGCGUAAAGCGUGCGCAGGCGGUUUGCUAAGACCGAUGUGAAAUCCCCGGGCUCAACCUGGGAACUGCAUUGGUGACUGGCAGGCUAGAGUAUGGCAGAGGGGGGUAGAAUUCCACGUGUAGCAGUGAAAUGCGUAGAGAUGUGGAGGAAUACCGAUGGCGAAGGCAGCCCCCUGGGCCAAUACUGACGCUCAUGCACGAAAGCGUGGGGAGCAAAACAGGAUUAGAUACCCUGGUAGUCCACGCCCUAAACGAUGUCAACUAGUUGUUGGGGAUUCAUUUCCUUAGUAACGUAGCUAACGCGUGAAGUUGACCGCCUGGGGAGUAC